GAUGAACGCUGGCGGCGUGCUUAACACAUGCAAGUCGAACGGAAAGGCCCUUCCUUGCGGGGGUUCUCGAGGGGCGAACGGGUGUGAAACACGUGGGUGAUCUCCCCUGCACUUCGGGAUAAGCCUGGGAAACUGGGUCUAAUCCCGGAUAGGCCCUCUUUUUGGUGGGUGUGGUGGAGAGUUUUUGGGUGUGGGUUGGGCUCCCGGCUUAUAACCUUGUUGGUGGGGUAUUGGCUUACAAAGGGGCCGACGGGUAGCGGGCCUGCGAGGUGGUACGGCCACAUUGGGACUGAGAUACGGCCCAGACUCCUACGGGAGGCAGCGGUGGGAAAUAUGGCACAAUGGGCGCAAGCCUGAUGCAGCGACGCCGCGUGGGGGAUGACGGCCUUCGGGUUGUAAACUCCUUUCGCUAGGGACGAAGCGCAAGUGACGGUACCUGGAGAAGAAGCACCGGCUAACUACGUG
rnacentral:rRNA from 1 species